rnacentral:tRNA from 1 species
GGGCCCUUAGCUCAGUGGUCAGAGCGGGCGACUCAUAAUCGCUUGGUCGCAGGUUCGAUCCCUGCAGGGCCCA